rnacentral:rRNA from 1 species
AGUGAACGCUGGCGGUAGGCCUAACACAUGCAAGUCGAACGGCAGCACAGGAGAGCUUGCUUUCUGGGUGGCGAGUGGCGGACGGGUGAGGACUACAUCGGAAUCUACAUUUUCGUGGGGGAGAACGUAGGGAUACUUACGCUAAUACCGCCUAUGACCUACGGCGGAAAGCAGGGGAUCUUCGGACUUUGCGCGAUUGAAUGCGACGAUGUCGGAUUAGCUAGUUGGCGGGGUAAAGGCCCACCAAGGCGACGAUCCGUAGCUGGUCUGAGAGGAUGAUCAGCCACACUGGAACUGAGACACGGUCCAGACUCCUACGGGAGGCAGCAGUGGGGAAUAUUGGACAAGGGGCGCAAGCCUGAUCCAGCUAUACCGCGUGGGUGAAGAAGGCCUUCGGGUUGUAAAGCCCUUUUGUUGGGAAAGAAAUCCAGCUGGUUAAUACCCGGUUGGGAUGACGGUACCAAAAGAAUAAGCACCGGCUAACUUCGUGCCAGCCGCCGCCGUAA